GAUGAACGCUGGCGGCGUGCCUAACACAUGCAAGUCGAGCGAUCCCUUCGGGGAAAGCGGCGGACGGGUGAGUAACGCGUGGGUAACCUGCCCUAUACACAUGGAUAACAUAUCGAAAGAUUUACUAAUACAUGAUGAUAUAUUAAGAAGGCAUCUUCUAAAUAUCAAAGCUUUUGCGGUAUAGGAUGGACCCGCGUCUGAUUAGCUAGUUGGUAAGGUAAUGGCUUACCAAGGCGACGAUCAGUAGCCGACCUGAGAGGGUGAUCGGCCACAUUGGAACUGAGACACGGUCCAAACUCCUACGGGAGGCAGCAGUGGGGAAUAUUGCACAAUGGGCGGAAGCCUGAUGCAGCAACGCCGCGUGAAUGAUGAAGGCCUUCGGGUCGUAAAAUUCUGUCCUUAAGGAAGAUAAUGACGGUACUUAAGGAGGAAGCCCCGGCUAACUACG
rnacentral:rRNA from 1 species